GACGGGGGGGGCAAGUGUUCUUCGGAAUUACUGGGCGUAAAGCGCACGUAGGCGGCUUUGCAAGUCAGAGGUGAAAGCCCGGGGCUCAACCCCGGAAUUGCCUUUGAGACUGCAUCGCUAGAAUUGUGGAGAGGUAAGUGGAAUUCCGAGUGUAGAGGUGAAAUUCGUAGAUAUUCGGAAGAACACCAGUGGCGAAGGCGACUUACUGGACACAUAUUGACGCUGAGGUGCGAAAGCGUGGGGAGCAAACAGG
rnacentral:rRNA from 1 species